rnacentral:rRNA from 1 species
GCGUAAAGCGUACGUAGGCGGUUAUUCAAGUCAGAGGUGAAAGCCUGGAGCUCAACUCCAGAACUGCCUUUGAAACUAGAUAGCUAGAAUCUGGGAGAGGUGAGUGGAAUUCCGAGUGUAGAGGUGAAAUUCGUAGAUAUUCGGAAGAACACCAGUGGCGAAGGCGGCUCACUGGACCAGUAUUGACGCUGAGGUACGAAAGCGUGGGGAGCAAACAGGAUUAGAUACCCGUGGUAGUCCACGCCGUAAACGAUGAUAACUAGCUGCCAGGGUUCACAGAACUUUGGUGGCGCAGCUAACGCAUUAAGUUAUCCGCCUGGGGAGUACGGUCGCAAGAUUAAAACUCAAAGGAAUUGACGGGGGCCUGCACAAGCGGUGGAGCAUGUGGCUUAAUUCGAAGCAACGCGCAGAACCUUACCAGCGUUUGACAUCCUCAUCGCGAUUUCCAGAGAUGGAUUUCUUCAGUUCGGCUGGAUGAGUGACAGGUGCUGCAUGGCUGUCGUCAGCUCGUGUCGUGAGAUGUUGGGUUAAGUCCCGCAACGAGCGCAACCCUCGUCUUUAGUUGCCAUCAUUUAGUUGGGCACUCUAAAGAAACCGCCGGUGAUAAGCCGGAGGAAGGUGGGGAUGACGUCAAGUCCUCAUGGCCCUUACACGCUGGGCUACACACGUGCUACAAUGGCGGUGACAGUGGGUAAAUCCCCAAAAGCCGUCUCAGUUCGGAUUGUUCUCUGCAACUCGAGAGCAUGAAGGCGGAAUCGCUAGUAAUCGCGGAUCAGCAUGCCGCGGUGA